CCUACGGGUUGCAGCAGUGGGGAAUCUUGCACAAUGGAGGAAACUCUGAUGCAGCGAUGCCGCGUGAGUGAAGAAGGCCCUUGGGUUGUAAAGCUCUUUUGUCGGGAAAGAUAAUGACUGUACCCGAAGAAUAAGGUCCGGCUAACUUCGUGCCAGCAGCCGCGGUAAUACGAAGGGACCUAGCGUAAUUCGGAAUUACUGGGCGUAAAGCGCGCGUAGGCGGUUAAGUAAGUUAAUUGUGAAAGCCCAAAGCUCAACUUUGGAAUUGCAAUUAAAACUACUUAGCUAGAGUUUAUCAGAGGAAAGCGGAAUACAUAGUGUAGAGGUGAAAUUCGUAGAUAUUAUGUAGAACACCAGUUGCGAAGGCGGCUUUCUGGGAUAACACUGACGCUGAGGUGCGAAAGUAUGGGUAGCGAAGAGGAUUAGAUACCCUAGUAGUC
rnacentral:rRNA from 1 species